rnacentral:rRNA from 1 species
CACCCGAAGCCGGUGGCCUAACCCUUGUGGAGGGAGCCGUCGAAGGUGGGAUUGGCGAUUGGGACGAAGUCGUAACAAGGUAGCCGUACCGGAAGGUGCGGCUGGAUCACCUCCUUUCUAAGGAG